rnacentral:lncRNA from 1 species
UUGCUUCUGUUGAGGACAAACUAGAGAUCUUGGCAUCACGUAAUGUUAAACUGAAGGCAGACACACUCCUUGAUGAAGCAGUUAAACUUUCAUAUGACCUGAUUGUGUUGCCUGUAAGGGAACCUGUUACUUUCUUUGUAAUAAUUAAUCGGUUUAUAAUAUUUAGUUUGUGUAAAUUAUAAUCCAAUUGUCUACAGGGUGGAAUUGGUGGUGCCCAAGCUUUUGCAAACUCGGAAACCUUGGUGAAUUUGUUGAAAAAGCAAAGAGAAUCAAACAGAUAUUAUGGAGCAAUGAUGCUGCUGAAAAAGCUUCAAGUUUCUUGCUAUCCAUGCUCAUGAUUCAUAGUUGAAGCAUAAUAAUUGAGAUGUUACUUGUUUUUAAGCAGUUAUGGGGUGUCCACCUCUGCUUUACACCCUUACUAAUUAUGUCAUCCCUCCCUCUUUCCCAUCUUUUUGUAACCAAAUGAAGAAAAGAAAAUUUAUUUAUAACUCCUACUUCUUUAUUGGUAAUGCAUAAGUAGUCGGGGUGCAUGUGUUGUGCUUUUCUGCUGCUGAAUUUCAACAUACAAGACAAGUCUGAUGAUAUUUUUAAUCUUGAUGAUAUCAAAAACCCCUCUGUGAUACUUACUACUAUCCAUUUCUUGUUGGAUUCUCUUGUAAUUCAAAAUUCAGGUUAUCCGAUCUAAUCAUGGUGAUGAAUAUACUUUUUUGGAGCUAAACCCAGUGCAAUGGACAUUUGACAGUCCACCCAAGGUAGGAUUUGGGCCUGAACAUUGUUCUCAGUGAAGUUUCUUUAUAUUGACAACAAUAUUUGAGAAAGGAUGCAGCACUAUAUUUAUUAAAUUUCUUUAAUAGACAUGUUUCUAUGAAAGAAUAAAUUUGUUGUUUCUAGAUUAUCGACCUUGAUAUGUAUUGGUAUUUUCACUUGCUCUCUUUUCAGAUUCUUGUACCAAUUGCUAAUGGCACAGAAGAAAUGGAAGCUUUGAUUAUAAUCGAUAUUCUGCGAAGAGCAAAGGCAAAUGUUGUGGUUGCUUCUGUUGAGGACAAACUAGAGAUCUUGGCAUCACGUAAUGUUAAACUGAAGGCAGACACACUCCUUGAUGAAGCAGUUAAACUUUCAUAUGACCUGAUUGUGUUGCCUGUAAGGGAACCUGUUACUUUCUUUGUAAUAAUUAAUCGGUUUAUAAUAUUUAGUUUGUGUAAAUUAUAAUCCAAUUGUCUACAGGGUGGAAUUGGUGGUGCCCAAGCUUUUGCAAACUCGGAAACCUUGGUGAAUUUGUUGAAAAAGCAAAGAGAAUCAAACAGAUAUUAUGGAGCAAUUUGUGCAUCCCCGGCUUUAGUUUUGGAGCCCCAUGGCUUACUAAAGGUAUCUAUGUGUUUUAUGAGUCAAUCUAUCAUCAGUAUAAACAAAACUUUCAAUAAAAUGACAAUUAUAUAUAUAUGUGUGUGCAUUUCUUUGAAUAAUGUGUUAAAACCCAUGUGCUUUUGUUUUUCUUUAUCAACUUGCCUACAUGGUCUGCAAUUCAACAGAAUUCAGAAAAGCAUGCAUAACAAACUGUGCAGCAGUGUUCAAGUUCAUUUGUACUGUAGACAGUUCCUUUCCUUAUGUAGCUAAAUCUUCUUAGAAUUCAUUCUAAUGCUCUUUGCACUUCUUUGGACUAUUUUAUGUUGCUAUCAAGUGCUUCAUUGUUCAUAACUUCAUUUUGCAUUGUGAUGUUAAUUUUAGAGACGGUCAUAUUUUCUCUGAUACAGGGUAAAAAGGCCACUGCUUUUCCUGCCAUGUGCAACAAGUUAUCAGAUCAGAGUGA